CAGAACAGCUAAACUGUCUGUGAGGAACAAUGGCUAAGUUACCUACCUAAAACUUCUUUUAACUUGCAAGUUGCAGGCAGAAGGAACAGCACACACUACUGUCAUUUGUGCCUUACAAAGUGAAAAUUGUAAAAUCUGUCUGGUGAAAGUUCCCCACACUCCUCAUGAAGGCACUCCUCUCUCUGGGGUGGAAAAAUUUGGAUGACAACACAUUCAGUAGAACCUGAGCCUGCAUCAUCCCUCUAGACCUUAGGGUGUUUGAGAAGCUUCUCUUCAUGCUUAAGGUUUUUUCCAGUAUGGAGGGAAAGAAAAGAAGGAAGAGGAAAUGGUACAACUGGAAUCCAGCAGACCGAGUUGUCAUCUUGGCUGUUCUUCCUGAAAAUCUGGAAUCUUUGGAUUAGUUACUAGUUACUCUGGAUUUACUACAAUGAGAUAAGAAUCUGAUAAAGCUGCUGUAAUUUUUGUGAACUGUUUUUAAUUGGUAUCUGUGUCUCUAUCUACACAUACAUAGGCAAUAUGUGGACAGUUGUCUGUACUUCACAAAAAUUGUACUUCAUGGAUGU